rnacentral:rRNA from 1 species
UACGUAGGGGGCAAGUGUUAUCCGGAUUUACUGGGUGUAAAGGGAGCGUAGACGGAUGGACAAGUCUGAUGUGAAAGGCUGGGGCUCAACCCCGGGACUGCAUUGGAAACUGCCCGUCUUGAGUGCCGGAGAGGUAAGCGGAAUUCCUAGUGUAGCGGUGAAAUGCGUAGAUAUUAGGAGGAACACCAGUGGCGAAGGCGGCUUACUGGACGGUAACUGACGUUGAGGCUCGAAAGCGUGGGGAGCAAACAGG